GUAGCGAACAGGAUUAGAUACCCUGGUAGUCCACACCGUAAACGCUGUCUACUAGCUGUGUGUGCCUUUAAGGCGUGCGUAGCGAAGCUAACGCGCUAAGUAGACCGCCUGGGGAGUACGGCCGCAAGGUUAAAACUCAAAUGAAUUGACGGGGGCCCGCACAAGCGGUGGAGCAUGUGGUUUAAUUCGAUGCAACGCGAAGAACCUUACCUACACUUGACAUGCUGAGAAGUUACUAGAGAUAGUUUCGUGCCUUCGGGAACUCAGACACAGGUGCUGCAUGGCUGUCGUCAGCUCGUGUCGUGAGAUGUUGGGUUAAGUCCC
rnacentral:rRNA from 1 species